CUGAGCUGAAGGCAGCCCCUUAACAGACUGAGUCAAGUCUAAAGUGAGGAUAUUAAAAUGAAAGAUGUGAUUAUGAUGGAUGGUGCUUCAAAGCGAUUAUAAAGUUUCUAUCAGCUGCAUUUACAUGGCCAAUUAUAUGAAUCUUGUCAACCUUCUGGCCUGCUACAUUGUUGCUGAAAAAAUCUGGCUUCAUCUGAAAGUGUCCCCAUUAGAAGCACAAGAGAGCAGCAGGCCAAAGAACACAUUCUCCCUUUAAAUAUGGGGUGCUGGAA